AUUGAACGCUGGCGGCAGGCCUAACACAUGCAAGUCGAACGAGCGGCGGACGGGUGAGUAAUGCCUGGGCAUUGCCCCGUCGAGGGGGAUAACAGUUGAAAACGACUGCUAAUACCGCAUAGGGUUGGAUGGCCCAUGUGUGGUUAGAUAGUUGGUGAGGUAACGCCUCACCAAGGCGACGAUCCCUAGCUGGUCUGAGAGGGUGAUCAGCCACACUGGAACUGAGACACGGUCCAGACUCCUACGGGAGGCAGCAGUGGGGAAUAUUGCACAAUGGGGGAAACCCUGAUGCAGCCAUGCCGCGUGUGUGAAGAAGGCCUUCGGGUUGUAAAGCACUGUCAGCGGGGAGGCGUUACCCGCAGAAGAAGCACCGGCUAACUCCGUGCCAGCAGCCGCGGUAAUUC
rnacentral:rRNA from 1 species